AAGCCAAAAGCAGAAAAAGCCUAGCCAAGCAACUGGAAAGAGUUAAUGAGAGACUUGCAGAGGCCAACACCAAGCUCCUUUGGGAGCGCCACAGAAGCAAAUCUGCAGUCCCAAGCAGCGCCGUCAGCGGACAUCUGACUGCAAGUCCACUUCUGGAUUCAACUGGCCUGGGACAUCUUGGUAUCAGUUUGGGACUGAGCAGAAGCCUGGGUCUCAGAACAGCACCCAGACAUCUGUUGUAAAGCUGAAGACAGGAUGCUCCAAAGGGCCACGGCAGACCUCGAUGAAGAAGGUGGGAUCUACAUCCCAUAUCGUACCCAUGGAAGCCUUUUCAACCUAAGGCGACUGAAGGCCCACACCAAGACCUUAAACCAUCUUGUCCAGGA